AUCACCAUAUAUAUAUAUAUAUAUAUAUAUGUGUGAAUAAAGAAAUAAAAACCGAAGAAAUAUAGAUUUGUUUUCUGUUUGAGAAAUAAAAAUAGAUGAAACGGGGAGUAGGGAGUGGGUCCCACCUUUUUUGAAACGCGGUAAUAUGUCGGUGGCUCCAUUUAUCCGACGUGGCAUAUUGUGACGGUGUAUGCAAAUCGUACACAGAGGAUUACGAAGGAGUAUGUUUGGGUACAAGGAUAAUAAUAAAACCGUGGAUAAGUCUUUGAGUGCACGGUGUUCGAGUUUCUUGUGUUGUGGCGGACCGUGAC
rnacentral:lncRNA from 1 species